rnacentral:piRNA from 1 species
CGAUUCCCGGCCAAUGCACAGAUACACUUU